rnacentral:lncRNA from 1 species
UUCUUUUAUGCUGUAGGACCCUAGUAAUAAUGGGGAGGGUUGACGAAUUAUGUAGGUGCAGUUGCUCCAUGGAUUGAUGUCACCUAUGAACUUGAGGAAAAAACUACUGCGUGCAGCUAUAUAUAUAAGCGGCACCGGAUGGCAUGAUCUUAAUUUAACAAGUCGUGUGUAGUAGCUAACUACUUUUGGAGAGCAAAACCAUCCAAAUGCUCUGUGUUUCUAGCGUCGUCAAUUGUCAUGACUUGUUGUCUAGGCAUGGGUGGUAUUGGAAAUUUAACCUCCACUUUUCUUUGUUGUGGUGGCAAGAAAGGAGGCCAGCGUAGGAUCACUUGGCUACAUUAGUUUGCAUCACAUAUUAUUGUUCUACUGUUCCGUUUCCAUGGUAGGGUGUUUAUGUACCUUUUAGGAUGGUAGUGGAUGGUUGGUUGCAGAGAGGGAAGUAGUGGGAGGUGGAAAGGCUAGGAGUAGCACCAGGUGGUCGGUCAUGGCUUGCAUGCCACAAUUGGCACAGAAGCUAGAAACAGGGCCAGGUUAUAUAUGUUGUAUUUUGCUUGAUCCCUAUGAAACUAGUCAUGCAGGGAUGACUUUGUUAGUCUUCAUAAGCUUCGUAUUACUAAGUCCAGCCUUGGGUUACUAAUUAAGUCCAUGAAUUGUAUUCCUCGUUUCUUCUUAAUGAAUAAUGUGUAGGCACGGUCGCCGAAAAAAAGACAGCAGUCAACACAGGAGAAUAAGACAUGUGUUAUAUAUAAAGUCAAGUUAUAAGUUCUUCCUCCAUAUUACACUAAACUAAUUCUAAUCCGAAUCUGCUAAUAUCUCUGAAGGGGCUCAGCAUAUUAACACAGGUGGUCCUCUUAAGGGGUCGCCUCUAAAAAUGGCCUACGUUUUCAUAUGCUGACCACUUAAUUAAGAAGCCAGCCUCUGUAAAUCUAUUUUAGGGCCUCCAUCCACUACCAAAAUAGUAGAAUCCUUAUUAGGAAGAAUUUAGUAGGGAAAGUUUAACUAUGUUUUGAAUGUGAAAGCACUAGAACCCCACUAGG